UGGCGCUCCAUGGUUUCUUCAGCUGUGGAAGAGUGAAGGACAAAUUUCAUCUAAAGCACUACUCACACUGUACUUACUGCACAAAAGAGGCCAAAUUGGCAUGGCUUUCGACUAUCUCUGCAAAAUCCAUUUGGAUCCAUUUCUGCAACUGUGAUCUACUAUCAACCUGGGGGGCAAAGGAGAAAUCAGCCCCAGGAGCGUGGAAACCACUAUACUUAAAACUAUAUCCUUUGCUUAUUUAUUUCAAGUAAAAGGCCACACAGACACAGAAAAUUAGAAGGCUCGUGAAAUAAGAUUUAAGUUCCAUUCUGGUUACAGGGUCCUCCCUGAUGUUCAAUCCUAGAGGCUAUACCUCCCACUCUUGAAGAAUUUCCAAACCUUCCAGGCCCAGGAGAGUUUUCCAUGUUGAAAGAUUGCAGGAUGGGACCCCAUAACAAUCCCCCAAAAGUUCAGGCUGAAAUUACAUGCAGGCCAAGUCUGUAUGAUGCAGCCCUCUGUAAUUGUUGGGUCUCUUCCAGAAGGCUCUCAACACAUGGGACUCCGAUGAAGUUCAGCAUGUGGAAAGGGCUGAAGCUUGAAGCCUGUGUAUUUGUAAUGGAAACACAGCAGUGACCCCAUGAUCCAGG
rnacentral:lncRNA from 1 species